CGCUGGCGCUGACGUGCCGUGGUCCGGUGCUGUAAACAUCCCCGACUGGAAGCUGUUCCCGUCCAGCUUUCAGUCAGAUGUUUGCUGCACCUGGCUGCGCUCGGACAACUGCAGAAGG
rnacentral:pre_miRNA from 10 species